rnacentral:rRNA from 1 species
CGGGGGUUACCGUAUGGCGAGGCAGAUCUCUGGGCCGUAACUGACGCUGAGGAGCGAAAGCGUGGGGAGCGAACAGGAUUAGAUACCCUGGUAGUCCACGCCGUAAACGUUGGGCGCUAGAUGUAGGGACCUUUCCACGGUUUCUGUGUCGUAGCUAACGCAUUAAGCGCCCCGCCUGGGGAGUACGGCCGCAAGGCUAAAACUCAAAGGAAUUGACGGGGGCCCGCACAAGCGGCGGAGCAUGCGGAUUAAUUCGAUGCAACGCGAAGAACCUUACCAAGGCUUGACAUACACCGGAAACGGCCAGAGAUGGUCGCCCCCUUGUGGUCGGUGUACAGGUGGUGCAUGGUUGUCGUCAGCUCGUGUCGUGAGAUGUUGGGUUAAGUCCCGCAACGAGCGCAACCCUCGUUCUAUGUUGCCAGCGCGUUAUGGCGGGGACUCAUAGGAGACUGCCGGGGUCAACUCGGAGGAAGGUGGGGAUGACGUCAAAUCAUCAUGCCCCUUAUGUCUUGGGCUUCACGCAUGCUACAAUGGCCGGUACAAAGGGCUGCGAUACCGUAAGGUGGAGCGAAUCCCAAAAAGCCGGUCUCAGUUCGGAUUGAGGUCUGCAACUCGACCUCAUGAAGUCGGAGUCGCUAGUAAUCGCAGAUCAGCAACGCUGCGGUGAAUACGUUCCCGGGCCUUGUACACACCGCCCGUCAAGUCAUGAAAGUCGGUAACACCCGAAGCCGGUGGCCUAACCCUUGUGGAAGGAGCCGUCGAAGGUGAGAAUCGGUGAUUAGGACUAAGUCGUAACAAGGUA